CCUACGGGAGGCAGCAGUGGGGGAUAUUGCACAAUGGGGGGAACCCUGAUGCAGCGACGCCGCGUGGGUGAAGAAGCGCCUCGGCGUGUAAAGCUCUGUCAGUAGGGAAGAAAAUGACGGUACCUGAAGUAGAAGCCCCGUCUAAUACGGGGCCAGCAGCCGCGGUAAUACGGAGGGGGCAGCCGUAAUCCGGAUUUACUGGGUGUAAAGGGGGCGCAGACGGAGUUGAAAGCCAGUGGUGAAAGGCCGGGGCCCAACCCCGGAACUGCUCUUGGAACUGCGUGGCUAGAGUGAAGGAGGGGCAGGCGGAAUGCCUGGUGUAGCGGUGAAAUGCGUAGAUAUCAGGCAGAACACCGGUGGCGAAGGCGGCCUGCUGAACUACAACUGACGUUGAGGCCCGAAAGCGUGGGGAGCAAACAGGAUUAGAUACCCUAGUAGUC
rnacentral:rRNA from 1 species